UUCUCUUGCUCUUACAAUUGUUACACACCUUUUUUCCUUGAUCUUUCCUGAGUGUUAUAUGUAGCGCUUAAAUUCCUGCUGUAUAAAUUGGGAUUGGGCAUCUGAGAGUUACUUCUUUCUGGCAAGAAAGUUUUACUUUUCUGAAGAAGUCAACCUUGAGUAUCUCUCAAUGACAGUCACUCCAACAACUGAAGGAUGAGAAGAGACCUGCAGAUGACUAAUGUGCUCCAACUGACAGUGUAACAGGAAUUUGGCUGGUGCGUUGCCAGAGAAAGCCUGCUGAAUUUGGGGGCUGACAUAACAGGAUGAGUGGAAAGGAAGGCUGGAGGACAA